CACGGAAAAGCGAACAUGACAGAAUCGAUGAGAUGAUCCUCUUCAACUUUUGGAUAAUUUAAUAGCACGAGUUUCACAGAUAAAUCUUUAAGCCUGAAGAUGAGAUGCUACAAUUAAUGUAUGUGUCUGCGUUCAUUUAAAAUUCACAAAGACAAACACUCAGGAUCUGAGUCCAUAGUGUCAGGCAGCCAGAGGGAACAAGCCAAGAAAGAUUUAGUAAGUUAGAAGACGAAUGCUGAGAUACAACCAAACUCUUCUGCAAAGCAAGGUAUGGUGUGAGCUUAGCUUCUCGGGACUCUCGUGGGGGAAAAUCUCAGUUGGAUGAACUAUUGCUGCCAAAGGAGUUAGGAGGACAAUCUCUGGUCUGGGAAUGACUGAACAACUGCCAGAGAGAUAUGAAGUGAGCUGGAAAAUAUUGCGUUCAGAUUUUUUAAUGAGAUUGUGGCGGAGGUCUUGGAAACGGAAGGGUCACUUCCAAGUUUCUGCAUGAAGGUUUAUAUAAAAUGAAAAAGAUCUGGUUUGAAGUAUUUGUCAUGGUUGUUGAAUUAGCAAAAACCUUGCUAAACACUUCGCUCAGCUACAAGCAGGAACCAUGCUUGCCUCAAAGCUUGACCAGAGGCAGCUGCCUGACACAUGAGAAGGUGGAGAAUGUUCGCCUCAAAGCGGGUCUGAUGGAACUCAACGGAGACAGGACCUGCCAAAGAAGUUCUAGAUGUUAAUGGCUGACUACCAUGAGCACAGGAAUAAGAGGACAGAUAGAUUGUCACACCUGAAGAAGAAAAAUGCGGGGGUAGUCUGACAGAUAUUAAUACAGUAAAUAAAGUGUCUGAGAAGAGCAGUAGAAAAGACAAGUAUGGAAAAUAAAGAAAGGAGAUAAAACAGGUGUUGGACUCCAUCUCAUCUCAUCUCA